UUACGGCCAUAUUGCGAUGAACCGCCGGUUCUCGUACGAUCUCCGAAGUUAAGCAACGUCGAGCCUGGUCAGUAUCUAGAUGACUGACCGCUUAGGAAUACCAAG